AACGAACGCUGGCGGCGUGCCUAACACAUGCAAGUCGUACGAGAAAUCUGGAGCAAUCUGGAGAGUACAGUGGCGCACGGGUGAGUAACGCGUGGGUAACCUGCCCUUGGGUUGGGGAUAACUCCUCGAAAGGGGUGCUAAUACCGGAUAACAUUUCGAUCUCCACGGGGAUUGAAAUCAAAGGUGGCCUCUGCAUGCAAGCUACUGCCCGAGGAUGGGCCCGCGUACCAUUAGCUAGUUGGUAGGGUAAUGGCCGACCAAGGCGGCGAUGGUUUGGUGGGCUGGGAGGAAGGCCAGCCAAACUGGAAUUGAGACACGGUCCAGACGUCUACGGGAGGUAGCAGUGGGGAAUCUUGCGCAAUGGGGGAAACCCUGACGCAGCAACGCCGCGUGGGUGAUGAAGGCCUUCGGGUCGUAAAGCCCUGUCAGGUGGGAAGAAACCCAUCGGUGCGAAUAGCACCGGUGAUUGACGGUACCACCGGAGGAAGCACCGGCUAACUCCGUGCCAGCAGCCGCAGUAAGAC
rnacentral:rRNA from 1 species